UGGAGUGAUACGUACUGAACUUCAUCUCUGGUGUUUCAUGUUCACACAGAAUCCACAGAGGAUGUCGUGUUAACAGAGAUGAAAUGUAAAAGCUUUUAUUUUGAAAAUGCCAUUUCCUGAUUUUCAGAAAACCCAGAAGUUUCUACGGUCACAACUACAGAUGGACUUUUGACUGAACAAGCGUGUUCAGACGUUUACCGUCAGUAUUUCUACAGAACCUUGGGGGUUCUGGCGUUCGUCCUCGUCCUCACAGCUGUUUGUUUCACGUCCAAACGAUGUUAUAAAGGAUGAUCCAGAACCAGAACCGAUCCAUCUCUGCAGACACUCGGAUAAUCCUCACUCAUGCAAAGAACCACGGCUUCUAUUUACCUAAAGAGCUCUGAUUUGAUUGCUGCAGUUCUUCUUUUUCUCUGUUCUGAUGUCCUUCCAUUCUAGUCACUGAUUAGAGUGAUUUCAAAAUAAAGUUCGGAAAAUAUUCACAAA